UAGAAUAAAAUCGUUUAAUUGUCAAAGAUUGAUUCCUUCGAUCUUAGAGGUAUCCUUGAAGGUAUUUCUUCCGUAAUCCGAGCAGGAAAUUCUAGAGAAUCCUAUCAGGCAUUCCUGAAGGCAUUUACAGAGAAAUUUUUGAAGAAAUUCUUGUUGGGAUUGCUUUAGAUGGUGCUCCCAGGGUUCCUGUACAAAUGCUUCCUGUGAUACUUUCAAGGAUUCCUCCAGAGAUUUUUGUAAGGAUAAUUUUUAUAGGAAUCCUUAUUAAAAUUAUUCUUGCGAUUCCUCCCACGAUUUCUUCAAGCAAUCCUAAACAAAUUUCUUGAAGAAUAUAAUCAUAUACAGGGUGUUAGGUUCCUGAGUGCAAACUUUUUAAAGGGUGAUAGAGGACCAUGAAUGGUAAAAAAAUUGUUCUACGCAUAUGGUCAAAUCUCAACCGUUUCGUAGUUAUUGAACUCCCCAUGUUUUUGACUCGUAUUGCCGUAACUGGGUAUAGCUUUAAAAUGGUCAAACUUAUCGCAGUUUUUUUACCCCUAUUCGAAAGAUUAUUGAAAUUUCUAUCAAAUGGCAUGUUUGAAUCGAUUGUUUUAGUUAAAUAACUGAGUUUUCUGGAGCAAAAUAGCUAAAAAUAGUGUGUUUUAAUUUGAUUAUGUCGAUUAUCUUUGAAAGAUGCGUAAUGAAUUAAAAUUCUUUCUUUGGCAAAAUUGUGGCCCCUGUUCCACUCUACAAUUCGUUCUUUGACGCCAAACUUCUAACUCUUUUCGUUUUCUUGCAAUUUUGAUUUAAAUGUGCGGCACAGUGCGCAAAAAAGUGCUUACCAUGACGAUUGCAAAUUUAUGAUCUGAAAUGCGGCGUUUAAAUCUAAAUUGCAAGAAAACGGUAAGAGAUAGAACUUUGAUGUCAAAGAACGAACUGUAGAGUGGAACAGGGGCCACAACUUUGCCAAAGAAAGAAUUUUAAAUUAUCAAGCAUUUUUCAAAGAUAAUUGACAAAAACAAAUUAAAACACACUACUUUAAAGCUAUUUGCUCUAGAAAACUUAGUUAUUUAACUAAACCAAUCGGUUCAAAGAUGCCAUUUGAUAGAAAUUUCAAUAAUUUUCCGAAUAAGGAUAAAAAAACUGCGAUAAGUUUGACCAUUUUAAAGUUAUAGCCAGUUAAGGCAAUAAGAGUAAACAACAUGGGGAGUUCAGUAACUACGUAACGGUUGAGAUUUGACCAUAUGCGUAGAACAUUUUUUUUCACCAUUCAGGGUCCUCUAUCACCCUUUAAAAAGUUUGCACUCAGGAACCUAACACCCUGUAUUUCUACUAGGAUUUCUCCACAAGUUCUUGCUGAGAUUUUUCAAGUAUUUUUAGCUGGGAUUUCUCCAGUUAUUACUCUUGGGUGUCCUCCAAGAAUUUCAGGAGGAUUCCCAGCAGGAAUUGCCCGAGGAAUUCCAGCAAACUUUCUGGUGGAUUCUACUAGGAAUUGUGAAAUUAAAUUUUAGCAGCAUUCCUGGAUCGUGGCGAGAACUUCUGAAAGAAUCACAAGCGGUUUUCCUCCAGCAAUUAUCGGAAAAAAUUCGAAGUAAUCCUCCGUCAGAGGCUUCUUCUUCUUCUUCUUUAUGACGUUCGCAUUGGAAUUUGGCCUGCCUUUCUUCAACUUAGUGUUCUUAGAGCACUUCCACAGUUAUUAAUUGAUAGGCUUUCUUUGUCUGCCAUUGCAUGAAUUUGUACAUUGCGUGGCAAGUACAAUGAUACUCUACCCUGAUAACAAUUGGAUGCUGUACAAACGUUUCUCCAAGUAUUUUAAAUCAACCUUCAUUUGAACAAAAGCUGAGCACAAGAAGUACAAUUCUUUAUUCAGUUCCAUAACAUCUAAUUUUGGCGAUUUUAUUCAACCUAUAGCUGAUUUGAGGUUCUUUAAAAGGCUGUUUUAUGGCUUAAUAUGCGCUUAAUCAGUAAUCAAAUAAAUUUAUUAAUUGUGUAGAAAUAAAAAUAAAAACACUUUAGUGAGUCUAUUUUUAUCAUUAUCCCCAGAGAUGUUUUGAAAUCUAUAAAUGAAUCGAUAGGAAAACUGAGAACUUAACUCGGACCUCAUGAUUUAUAGUCACUCACCUUAGCCUUUAUACCACAGAUUAUUGCAUACGUAUGCUUGAAAACAAGGGCAUUACUUGUUGUAUCUGAAUAGUCAAGAACAUUAGAACUAAGGCUGUAUUAAGGCUGAACAAGCGAUGUUGACUUCACAAAAAUAUGCUUGGGUCAGCUGUCAAAAAAAUAUUUGAUUAAAGGUUGAACAACGGAUGAUUAGUUCUGCAUGUCAGUGUAUGCUUUCAAGCUGGUUACACAGAUGAAGAAUAUGCUAUUCAACUUGAUAUUCAGUCAUCUAUGUAUUGCUGAUUAAACAGGUUGAACAAGCCAUACUUCAGAUCAAUAUUCAUCUAUCAUUGUGUUCAGCCACUGACACCAUUAAACAGCCAAUGCUCAGGUAAUACUCUCACUGUACAGCAUUUGUUGUUACUUGGAUAUGCUCAGGGAGUUGAGAAAAUUACCCCGACCGGAACGGAAACUGAACCCGCCGUCUCCGAAUUGGCGAUCGAUAGCCUUAACUACUAGGCUAUUUGAAGAACCAGAGCCGUCAGACCUUCGCUUAUUCUUCUAUUCCAUACUUUCUUGUAGAGUCAAAGACAUCCAUGAAGUGGCAGCCGUCCGCACAAGGUCGAUUUGUUUUCUUGGUUGAAGAACUCGAUGGAGAAUCGCUGUUCUUAAAAAUUACUUCCUCAACUGACCCCCUUCCUUCGUCUUACUAAUGGUUUGAUGAGCAUCGACCCACUAAAGUAACAUGCAAGUUCGUUUCUUUGUUGCGCCAAAUUCGAGCAGCUACCUUAAGAACCGCAUGCUUUCUCUCACCGACCGUCAUCAAUUAUCAUGGUUGUUGAUCCAACUGCAUUCAUCCUGUCUGCUGCCGUCGCGAUCGUGAGGAUGAAUUUCAAACGAAGAAAAGAGCGACGACCGGCGUCGUCGUCGUCGUUGUACCUAAUGCCACUAAGCGCGGGUGCGCGUCUCGCGAGAGCGUUUCGCGCUCGCACUUGAACACCUCCAUCCAAACAGCGAACAACGGUCACCGCGGGACGACGACGGAGCAGACGGUUUAGUUCGAACGCAGUCGCGGUUCGGUUCGUAGCUCGCGCCAAGCGAGAGAGGGUAGUAGCUCUAGCUAGCAGCCUAGCAGCCUAGAUCUUUGCCUAAGGAUAUCUUUGCCUGUAGGAAAAUUGACUUGGUCGCGCCCGUUAAAACAGGAAAAACAGUCGUCGCGCGUGGACAAAAGGAUUGGGCAUUAAUCGUCGCGGUCCGUCGACAAAGUGUGCUUGCUGGCGGUUUGACUGGUGGAAGAAUUUUCCUCCGUGGGAGGAUUGUUUGCAAUAUACUUUGGCAGGGAAUUUUCUCUGACUAACAUACAUAAGUAUACCCAGUGGAAGGCAGAAGAAGAUUUGUUAAAAAACGUGUAGCGGCGGUGGCGGCGCGUCGAAAGAAGAAAGUGUCGGUCCAAAAGAAUCCACUCAAACGAUCUCGUUUGCACGUUUUUCCCGCACACGCAUGUUGGCUUGGCUUCUGAUGUGCUUACAGCUAGCCAGCCUAGAGGGGUGAAAAAUCCGAGUGAUUCAGUUUGUUGUUUAUAAAUAUUUUGAACGCUUCCGAACGUGGAUCUCUCAGCUGGAUCGUCUGGAUUAAUACUCUUGUUGAACGAGUGUGGUGAAGAAAAAUCGAAUCGAAGACGUUCUCAGGAAAAGCGAGUGGAUAUGCCCAGUGGUGUGAAUGAUCCGGCAGCUGAGUAAACGUCUAAACAUUCCGUCUAAAGCCAAUCGAUUACCCGUAUGUCUCGGCUUCCACUGUAUUAAAAAGUGAAACGACCUCUCGUCAGAAAAAAAAGAGCAGAAGAAGUGUGUUUAGUGUUCGCGUAUCCCAACAGCCGAUCAGAGUGCACAGCAACUCCAGAACAGCAGCAGCAGCUAAUGAAAAGUAUUCCACUAACAAUCCGUCCGGAAAAUCUCAUCACCCAAUCAACCCAAUCCACCCGACAACGCGAGUUGGUGGUGGCAUCAAGUGGUUUCGUAAGUGUGAUUUGCACAUAUUUUUUUUACCAACUCUACUGCUGAUGUGAUUGUCUGCAACUUAUCGGGAAGACGCAACCUUGUGGAGGUGUUGUUUUCGUAUGAAUUGGAACGUGCUGUGUGGGGGCGUCGUCGCGUCGCUUCGUGGUGGUCCAGAUGUCAUUCAUUCUAUGGCUUGAAGGGGAGGAUUAGAAAUUCCCAACGGUUGCAGCAGGUUGUUGUGGUAUGUGACAAAACGAGGGGUUUAAGAUUGUGACUAGACAUCAGAGACUUGAGUUUCGAAGCUAUCUUAUCAGACGACAGUUUCAAUUGUUUCAACGGGUGGGGGGGAGGUAUUCUGUUAUCGUCUAGCUACCGCCUUUAUCACCUGAUCACGGGGAAUGAACUUUCUCGCAGCGUGCUUGCUAGAAAUAAUUUUAUCUUUUAUAAUUUUAGCAUCACGUAAUCUGAGCAAUACUUACAGCAAUUUAUGGUGUUUUUGUUUGAUUCGACCUAUUUUGAGAAAUCAAAGCCCACGAUGAUUCAAUUUCAUAACACGAUAUGAAUGAAUAUAUCUACAUUUCGGUUCCUUUGCGUAAAUUUAUUAGUUACAGGUUACCAGUGGCGUAGCUAGGAAUUUGAGGGCCCGGUGCGGUACCAAAUUUGUGGGCCCCAUGAUAAUUACAGAUAUACAUAUUUUACAAUGUUAAAUCUAUUCUUCUAACUCUCAAAUAAUCACGCCGUUGUAUUUUGUACAAAGCGUUAAAAAAAUCUCGACUUGUCAACAUUAGCGUGGCCAACUGACUGACCAACUGACUGGCCAACUGACUGACUGAAGGUUAAACAAUAUUUUCUGUAUUCCUUCAAGAAUGUCUUCGAAGAUUUCUGCAAGGAUACAUCCCGGAGUUCCAUCAAUGAACGUAAUUUUUUUCUAAGAAUAAUGACGAUUUUUUAACAUUUUUUUAUGAAUUGCAUUAAGUAAUCCUUUCUUUCAAAGAUUGCUUUAUCAUUUUCUUUGAAAAAAUCUUUCUUGAAUAAUAAUUUGUCUUCAAGAAUGUUUCAAGUAAUUCAUGAAUGGGUGUCAUUCAAUAUUUCUCCAAACACUCUUUCAUGUAUUCUUACAGUGUUGUCUCCGUGGAUGUUUUCAAAAGUACUUCAGAGUACUUCAAAACAUUCUUGCAAAGGCUUCAAAGUCCUUUUAGAUUUUUUUCAAAUCCUCCAAGAAAUUUCAAAAGAAUCCAUUGGAUAAUAAUUUUUAAAAAAUCUACCAAGGAUCCCUACAGAAGUUCUUCUAAGAAAAUUCUGAGAGGAACUUCUGUUGGAAUUCUUUCCAAAAAACCUUCUGGAUUUCUUCCAAAAAAUUCUUUAGAAUUCAUCUACUCUACGAGUUUCCCCAAGGAUUCCUUCAGGAAUUCUUGCUAGCAUUCCUCUAAGAACUCUUCUAAAAAUUUCUAUUGUGACUUUUGAUCAGACUCCUUAGAAAUUCUUUCGAAAAACUCUCAUACUCAUUCCGAAAUAAAAACAUUCAAAGUUACCUUCAACAUCUCAGUCAAGCAUUUCUCCAUGAUUUAUUAUUGAUUCCUCCAGAAGUUCCUCUGAAAUUUCGUCCAAAAAAAUCUUCGAGGAUUCCUGUUAGGGUCAACGUGUCUUGGUAAUCCUACAAUCUCAAAUUCAUCCUUUUCCAAAACAAAGCAAUUACCGCGCCGAUUGAUUACGUAAUUUUUGUUAUCAUUCGUGCUCACUUCUAACAAAAAUAUAAACAAGCGCUUCAUUACUUUGUUUUCAGUAGGAUAAAAAUAGGAGCGUAUAUGCUUACAUAAUAAAUGAUUUGAUAAGAUAAAAUCAAAUGAUUUCUUCAGAAGUUUCUACAAGGAUUCCUCCUAAGACUGUUUUGCCACUUUCUUCGAGAAAUCUUUAAGAAUACCUUGAAGCAUCUUUUAAGUGAUUAAUGCAAGUUUAAGAUUUCAUAUAGGGUACCCAUCAAGAAUUGUUCAGGAAUCGCUCCAAAAAUUCCUACGGGAUUUUUUCCAAGAAUUUCUUAAAUUUUUCUUCAAACAAAUCUUUCGGAAUUUCUUCAAAUAUCUAAUUAGGAACCUCUGCGAAGGUUUUAUCAAUCGGCAAAGAAUGCUUGCUUAAUUUAUUCAAUAAUUUCUCCAAGAGCUCUAUAAAAGAUUACUUUUGGGCUUUUUCCAGGGAUUGCUUUAGGAAUUCUACCAAGGAUUUAUUGAAAAUUCUAAAAGAAUUCCUUCUAAGAUGCUUUAGAAAUUCAUCCCAAACUUUCUUCAGGAGUUUUUCCAAAGAUUUAUUUAUUUGUUCAUCCAAUAAAUUCUCUUGCGAUUUCUUCAAAGAUUCAACUGAUUCAAAUAAAAAAAAAUGAAGGAAUUCUUUCAAGAAUUCUCACAGAAAUUCCCCAAAGAACAGUGGCAAAUAAAAAAAAAUCUACUGGUAUUCCUUCAAACAAUUUUUGUGUUUUUUUAGGAAAUUGUUUGUGGACUUCCUUAGAUUUUCGGAAAUUCCUUAGAUAAUUCGUUGAGAUUUUCUUCGGCCGUUCCAUUGUAAAUGCUUGUUUUUUUUUUUUAAUUCGCAAGAGUGUAUCUCAUAAAAUCUCAAAAGUAACAAUAGACGGAAAUCCGUAAGGAAUUAUCAAAUGAAAUUUCCACAGGAAUUACCAAAGAAAUUUUUUGAGAAAUUAAUGGAGGAAUUUUCCUAAACUGCCGCCUCAAUUUACGAAUUAACUAAGGAAUUUUCAAAGUUCCUGCCUAAUGAAUUUCGAAAGAAACUAUUGAAAGAAUUACAAAAGUCAAGUAUAUUAGCAAAGGGACUGCCAGUGAAACUCCCAAAGAAAUUGCUGAAGGGAAUAUCGUAGGGUUUGCCUGAUAAAUUUCUAAAGCUAUUGCCCAAAGAAUUUCGAAAAGUUAUGUCGUAGAUAUCUUGAAAAAUUAAAACUUAAAUCAAUUUCGAAUAUUAUUGCCCAGAAAUUUUCGAAUGAGUUAAUGAACCAAAUUUCAAACGAACUGCCGAUAUCGUUUAAAAAAAUUUCAAAAAAAAACCCCAAAACAAUGUUAUAGCAAUUUUAGGAUCAAAUCCUAGAAAAAUGGCUAGAAGGAUUUCCAAAAGCUUUGUCAAAAAAUGACUUCGCCAAAGGUAAUAUGAAAGAUUUCCACGGGGUAGCUCACAGGAAAUCCACCGAAUGCAUAGCCAAAGUAAGUUCCUCCUCUCUCUCCUCUUCUUGGCGUAACGUCCUCACUGGGACAAAGCCUGCUUCUCAGCUUAGUGUUCUAUGAGCACUUCCACAGUUAUUAACUGAGAGCUUCCUCUGCCAAUGACCAUUUUGCAUGUGUAUAUCGUGUGGCAGGCACGAAGAUACUCUAUGCCCAAGGAAGUCAAGGAAAUUUCCUUUACGAAAAGAUCCUGGACCGACCGGGAAUCGAACCCGUCACCCUCAGCAUGGUCAUGCUGAAUACCCGUGCGUUUACCGCCUCGGCUAUAUGGCCCCAAAGUAAGUUAUUCCCAGUUAUUUUACCAGAAGAUUUUUCAUACGAAUUGUCAAAAAAAAAACAACGAGAAGUUGUAAAUGGAAUUUCCAAAGAAAUUUCUGUAGAAAAAAUAUUCUGGAGAAGUUCGCAAUGCCAUUUCUGAAGUAUUGCCGAGAACUGAUCAAAGAAGUUUCCAAAGUAAUUGCUUAACAAUUACUCAAAAGAAUUGCCGUAGGAAUUUUCAGUGAAACUUGUAACAGAGUUCCUAAAAAAAUCUCGAUAGUUUUUACCAAAGGAAUUGCGUACACAAUAGCUGAGACAAUUGCCAAAGAAUUUCUUUAAAAAUAAUAAAGGAUGUCGAAGGAGUUUCCAAAUAAAUUUUCAAAGAUAUGCCCUCACGAAUGGGCCUUUUCAUUUGACGUCUUAAAUCAACUGAUUUCUCGGGCCUUUGACAGUUCUCCAAUGAAAAUGACAGUUUAGCGUUUGCGCCUUUGAUCAGCAAUUGUAAACAGUGGCAUACACAUACCUGUCAACUGAAAAGGCCUAUUGCUGCACGGAUUUCCAAAGCAAUUACUGAAAUAGAUCCAAAAGAACUUUCCAAAGGAAAAUUCUAAUAAAAAAAAUGUAAAAUUUCUUUCAGGAAUUAUCAAUAAAAUUCGUCCAAGAAAUUUAAUUGGAAUUUUUUUUAUGAACUCUUAAGGCAUUCUUCCGAGGUUUCCAUCUAUUGAUACCAUUAAAGAUUUACUUAGCGAUAACACCAAUUUCGUUCGAAUUUUCUUCACGAAGCUUCUAAGAUUUUUUUCUUAGGAUUUCAUCAAGCAUUUGUUCCAAAUGAGGAACUCCAAGAACUCUUUCUUAGAUAUCUUUUACGAUUCAUCUAGGAAUAACUUCAAGAACUUCUUUACAAAUACCUCCAAGAUUUGUUUCGAAAGUUGCUACAGCGUUUCUGAAGGAAUUUAUGUAUUCCCAAGAAUUCCCAAGAAUUCCAUAAAGAGCUUCUUAAAUAUUUCAACAAACGAUUGCUUUGGGGCUACCCCACAUGAUCCCUUGAGCAAAUCUUCCAUAGGAAUUCUUUAGGAAUUCUUUUAAGAUUUGCUUUUAGAAAUUUCUGCAAGAAUUCUUUUUGCAGUGCCACAAAUGGUUUUUUUUGAAGUCCUUUCAAGGAUUUCUUACGAAGCAUUGUUCAAGCAUUUCAAAGAUUUCUUCAGAAGUUCUUCCAAUAAUUGCUGUAUGGAAUCGUCCAAAGAUUCCUUAGGCAUUUUUUUCAAUUGCCCUUUCACGUUUCAAUCAUGAAUCCUUUAAGAAAUUCUAGAGAAGACUUCUUUUUCUCCAAGGAUUUUUUCAAGCUACGUUACAAAGAUUCCUUCAGGGAUAUCCCAACGUUUUUCUUCAGAUAACCCUGCAAGGGUGAACACAUUCAUCUCCAAAGGAUUCCUGCACAAAUUCUCUCAGGGGGUCUUAAAGAGAUUUCACCAAGGCUUUCAUCAGAAAUUUCUCCACGGAAAUCUAUAGAAAUUGUUUUGCAAAUCAACAUCAACGAAUUUGAGAGGAAUUCUUUGAGGUUUGUGCCAUUGAUUUUUUUGAAAAAUAAUCUAGGCAUUCUUCCAAACAUUCCUUUGCCUUCAAAAUUUCUUCAGGAAUCCUUUACGUGAUUCCUCAUAGUACUUGUAGUAGUUCUACUACUACUUUAAAGUACUGUAGUAGUCCGUCAAGAAUGGCAUCUAAGAUACAUAUCUCCAAAAUCAACCUAAUUAUUCUUCCCGAAUACAUCUUAGAAUUCAUCUAGAAGAUUUUUCGAGGAUUCCUUUUAAAAAUUCCUACAAAACUUCCUGCAAGCAUUUUUACAAGGAUUCUUUCGGGAAUUCUUCCAAAAUUCCUUCAGAAAAUCUCAUAAGAAUCCAUUCAAGAGCCAUACCUGAUCAAGCAUAAUCUCAGAAAUUCAUCAAAGGUAUUUUCCAUGAGGAACUCCUGCAAGAUUCCUUCUUGGAGAAGUCUCUAAAAGAAUCUUGGAGAAAUCCCUUAAGGUUCAUCUGCAGAAUUCGUUGAAGGACUUCAUGACAUAAUCCUCGAAGGACUUUAUGAAGGGAUCCAAAGAGGUAUUCCUGAAGGAAUUCUUGGAGGUGUUCAUGAAGGAAUCAAUUCAAGUAUUCCAAAAUCAAUGCUUAGAAGAAUUCCUGAAGUAAUCCAUGAAAAAGUUCUGAAGUAAAUCUUAGAGGAAUUUUUGUAGAAGUCUUUGAAGAUAAAUCAUAUUCCCGAAGGCAAUCUCGCAGAAACCCUUCAAGGAAUACUUGGGAAGAAAUACUUCAUGAAAUCGUUGGAUACAUUGAUUUCACUUAUUUUUCAUACGAAAGCAAAAAAAAAAUAGACAAACUAUUGUUAUUACGGUUUUGACCUGACAUGUGUUCAGAUUUUAAUUUUCAUAACUGCGGCCCCUGAAUUUCAGCUGCCACCUUAAGCUAAGUCAACAACUAUGUUUGGUCCUGUAAAUAGGAUACCAGGGACAUUUUCACAAUGCUCAUGAAUUUUACUUUCAUAUCGAUACUGAAUUUCCCAAAAAUUCAAUUUAAAUUUAAACACAUUUUUCUUUUAAUUUUGGGGCCACCUGUGUGCCCCAUUCCAAAAAACUCUUGAUAAUCACGAAGGGGCCCCCACAUACCUAUUAAAAGUUCUGCGAAGUGUUGAACUUAUAGGAAUCUUUCGCUAUUUAAAGUACUUUAUUCUAACUAGUGUUAAAAAACCUUCCUUGAUUUGGAGGCCCCCUGAAAUCGGGGGCCCGGUGCGGACCGCACCCAUCGCACCCCCCCCCCCCCUUGCUACGCCACUGCAGGUUACAGCAAAAUGUUAUUGCGAACAUAUCAAAUUGUAAAUGAUCCAACGAAAAUCAACAAACGAUUAUUAAGAAUUCUUUGAAAACUCAAAGCACUCUAACAAGUGUGUACUGAAAUGAUCACCUAUAUCUGUUUGCGACAACAAAAACUCCUUUCCGUCAUGGAGCAAUAGAGGUGAUCUCGGUCUCUAGCAGCAACGCACAUCAUACUAAUAUUCUUUCCCUUCCUUGAUGACCGUAAGGACGUAGCCGGCGCUUUUGUUGACUUGAAAAAGUUUGCAAUUUUCGAAGGUGCAAUUUCGAUUAUUCUGGUCAAUCACGGUGGAGUAACUACGAAUUGUAUGGUCAUCCAUGUUCAUGCUCAUGUUUAUAUUAUUUAUUCACUUGAAAAACCAUAAAUGCAGAGCACUUCGCUGCAAUUCAGCAUACCAAAUUUCCACAUUCAACAUUCCAAGGCUCGUUGGCAGCAGCAACGAGACCCAAAAAACCAUCGAACCAAACGUACCUGCACUCGGACGGACGCCAAUACCGCCGAUGUCCAAACAAAGCGGCAUGUUUCGCGUGAACACGUCUAAAUAUUGUUUAUCACGAAAAAGUUUGUUCUCACCGCAUAUUAGCCGCGGUUCACUGGUUCCACUGGUGUGGUCUUUCGUCGGUCGGUAGUUAGUAUGUAAAAUCGACUCAGUACCCGGGCUGCGAUCGAAAUUAUAAAUAAUAAUGCAAUCCAUCAACGGUUGCCACUAGGUACGAGGAGCGCUCAGCUUAGAACUACGCAUACGACCGUUUGGUAGUGGCUCCAAUUGCAUAAGCAACUUGCACUAAUUGACGACGUAACCAGGCCGCCUCGCAGCGGCAGCAGCGGCGUCGCCGGUCAUUCCGCAUAAGGUUCAUGUCAAUUAGGUUUCAUUUAAUUACUUCCAACAAUAGUGGCGCUUUGGCGGUUCACAGUAUUUUAACGAAACUUGACUUGAACAAUUCGAUACCCAAGAAACUGAAAACGUGCCUCGAUUUAAAUGGUUUCCGUCAUCAGAAUCAAUAGGAAAUACGAUCGACAAACGGUCAGUGACCUACGGUCCAAAGAUCCCUGCCUUCUGUGAGCAAAUGGUUUUAGAUCAUAUACAGUUUCACACGACGGUAGUUCGCACGUUCAAACGCCCACUCAAAAACUAGUGCUAACUGAUGGCUCUCGCGGUUUGAACCAAUUUAGGUUUCACUUCUGCACGGCCAAAUAUAUCAUGCUAAAUUGUUGCAAAUUUGCUCGCCUAUCUCUGGCGCUACUGGCCUGGAACCAAAUCAACCCAGCCUCGCAGUGGACUGUAUCGCCUUUCAAUCGACCCACACGCUUCGGGAUAGAUGUCGAUUUCGUCGGGGGAGAAUUUUUUACACACUCGCUUGCUCGACUAGAGCUACGGGAGCAUCCAUAAAUCUAGUUUAUUAUAGUAGGUAGCUGCAGUGUUGGGAAUACUCACUAGCUAAAAGUUAUACUCACUUGCUUCUAUCUCAGUCCAGAAGCAUGCUAUCAAAAAAUGAUGUUUGAAGGGCUUUUAGAUUGUUGUUUAAUCUAAAAGUUUGCCGAAUAUAGUGAAGGUCGCAAACGCAUACCAAAGUUAUGAAAGAGCUGUGAGCACAAGGUGAGUAUAAAUUACACGAAUUUUACUCACCUCGUACUCACAGCUCUCUCACAACUAUGGUAUGCGUUUGCGAUCUUUACUUUAUUCGGCAAACUUUUAGAUUAAACAACAAUCUAAAAGCCCUUCAAACAUCAUUUUUUGCAAGCAUGUUUCUGGACUGAGAUAGACGCAAGUGAGUAUCACUCUUGCAAGUGAGUAUUCGCAACACUGGGUAGCUGUGCGAAGGAUUCAAUUUUGCGCUCUUUCCGUAGUAUCUGGGAGACAGCUUUUCGUUGAAAAUUUAACAACGGGCAUUUUAUAACCGUUGGCGUUGGAUUAUCAUAUGAGCGCAAAUGUCACAAAGGAUCAUAACACUAGUUUACAAAAUAAAACGAAAGUCGUGAACUUCUGUCAACGACCAAAAUUUUUGAAGCACAAUUUAGUACUGAUUUUGAAACCGUGCUUCAAUUUUUUUUAAGUAGAGCACUUUUUGAGUUUUAGCUCAAUAUCGAGUUUUACAACUUUUAAAAAUAUAGAAUAUACCAAAAUUCAAAUAUCUUGCGUUUUGUUCAACCAAUUUCAAAUCUUUUUCCAUAAAUUAAAAGCUGAAUACAAUACAAUUCGAUCAUCUGAAUGCAGGUUUAGCGUCAGAUUGAUGAAAUUCAAGAUAUUGGCGAGUUUUAGGGACGAUCUUCUUAAAUUUUAGCCAAAUUUCCAAAAAUAUAUGAAGAAAUGUAUUUUUUUCAAUAAGAAAAAAACAAUCUAAAAAUUCUUUCUCAACGUUUAUUUCACAUAUCAUAUGUAGGCGAGUUACAGUAAAAAAUUCAGCUCAAUCGGAGCAUUGAUUACGGAGAAUGAGAUGUGUGAAGUGAGCGACGUUGCUUAAAAAUAGAACAAAAAUCGAUUUCAAAUCAUCAACCUUGUAUGGAAAGUCGAAAAAAUUUCCGCUCUACUGUAAUUUUUUUCCUUCGCGUUUUCGAACUCAGGGCAUGAUUCUACACCAAAAAUGAUCAUCAGCUUACCGAGUUCAAAAAUGCUGUAAACUAGUGUAAUUAAGGACAGACUUGUUAGCAGGGCCCUACAUUUUCAAUUUCAAUUGAAAUUUUCAGGUGAAGUUUGUAAACAAUGUUUUCAAUCGUCAAUGGAAGCAAGGCGCCGUCGUCGUCGCCCAGUCCGACUGUCAUCGUCACCGAUGAACCGACGGUGCUGCGCCGUCGCCGAUGCCGCUUUGUUUCGCACUCACAAGCUCAUGCACGCUCGUUUGACAUCAAAUAAAUUUCUUUGUUGUAACUCCAUUAAUGAGUGUAACAACCGACAAAUCUGUGUAAUGUUGAUGUAUGCUAUGCAUAUUUUACUGAAAUAGUCUAUUACCCAUAAAAAAAAUUAAGCAAACAAACAUUUUAGAUAAUUUGAAAAUUUCAAUUGAAGUCCAGUCGGUGUGAAAAUGAGCCGCCGCCCGUCGUUGCGUCGAAGAAAGCAACAAAAAAACGGAUGAAGCGAAGCGCUUGGAUGUUGUUGUGAAUGUUCCCGUCGUCGGCGUCCGUCCGAUGCUGAUGGGCGCUCGCUUUCAGCGUCAUGUUUUGGUUUCGACGAUGUAGGCCCCUGCUUGUUAGAAUCCCAAAAUGGCCACCAGAAUGGCCGACUUUGGCACCUACUCACGAUUUUGAGCGCACAAAUCUCUUCGUAAACAAAUCCAGCGCACCUGGUCCUCUUAUUUUAAGCUUAUUACAAGUGAGCAAGAACAGAAUAAUAAAAUGCACUGUGGUUUGAAGCUUGCUUCUUGAGAUUUGUGCGUCUGAAAUUCUGAUGCACUGUUGAAGCGGGAUUUAAAGACGUUUGUCCUUAAAGGCGAAUCUCUUUAUGGUGUCUACCAUUUUAUGAGAGCUGGUUUACAAAAUACUAGAGUGUUGUCAGCUUUAAUUAUAUUUCACAGAUGGAUUUACCGAAAGUCCGAAAGUAGUAAAUCCGAAAGGUAAAGUGAUUUAUGGGAAGCUGAUUGCAAAUUUUCGUUUUUUCAUCUUCAAACCAAGAUUUAUUAGUGUUUCAUUUUUACAAUUAACCUACAAACUUCUCUCAAAAUGUAUGGCAAUUUUACUGCCAUAAGAGCAGCAUAUGAAUUGUAUCCAUGUAAAAAACAUUCUAAGCAUGUACAUACGAGUUUUGUGAAGUAGAAAGAAGUACCUGGACUCUUGAAAAGUCACUCUUCAAUAUCUACAGUGUUUAAGACAUUCACUAACCCUACAUGCACAAUAGACAACACUCCUUGUUCUUCUUCUUCUUGGCGUAACGUGCUAACUGGGAUGAAGACUACUUUUAAGGUUAGCGUUCUAUGAGCGUUUCCACAGUUGUUAUUUGAGAACUUCCUGUGCUAAUGACCAUUUCGCAUGUGUAGGGAAUUUUCAUUGCCUACUGAACGUGCCUGACCCGACCGGGAAUCAAACCCAACCCGAGCAGAGGAGAAUAUCAAAUUAAUAACUACGAAAUAACAUAACCUGUUUUUAUAACUUGGUUUGUUAUUAUUACCUUAUCAAGGCAUUACUUCUCCAUAACAUCUUUUGUUGGGCAAUCCAAUUUUGUUAUGAGCACGGUAUUGGUAUACAUUCAUUAAAUGACAUUUAAAUAAUAUGUUUUGUUGUUAAACAAAUUGAGUUAUUAUUGAACUAUAGAGUGUGCAUGAAUAUUUAAUCAUCAAUACCACAACGAUAACAAGUUUUGAAAUCAAAACUACAUCAUUAGAUUUACGUUGUUUUGAGCAUUCCGUGAUGGGGAACCCAAAAGAACAUGAUUUUACGAUUCCAAUAAGGCCAACGAGCCAACUUACAAGAUGUUUUCGAUCAGUUGGUAAAAUUCCAGGAGGAACUUAUUGAAAGGUUUAUUAGAAAAAUACCAUAAACUUCAGACUAGUCUUCUGGGGAAAUUAAAAAAAUUGGGUCGAUUAUGGUGAAGAGAGGGGGCACUCUAUCUCCCUCGUGGCAUUUACCAUACCUUAUAUUGAACAUAAGGUACAUUAUUAUAUUUCAGGUAUAUUGUAAUUAUAACUAAUUUUGUUUUUAAAUUAUUGUCAAUAACAUAGAAAGUUCAAAAUUUGUUGUUCAAAUAUUUUUAAAUUCAUUAUUUUCAAGUUGUUAUUGAAACCAACAAAGUAUGUUAUCAAAUUGGUCUUCCAGGAAAAAAUUUUUGUUAUGAUUUUUGUUAUUUUGCCGCUUAUGACAGACAAGUUUAUAACAUUAUAUAUUAUGUCAUGCCACAAUAGUUCAGCCUAUUGGACGCAGUGGCUUAAUUUCCCCAACAGGGGAGGAAAAAAAAAUGUUAAUAACAUGAAAAUAACUUAUUCCAUAGCUCAAUUAUUUUGCCAAAAUAACGUAUAUUAUUAUGGGGUUGUUAUUUCCUUCUGCUCGGGAAGUUGUGUAGUAGUGCGCGUGUUGGCAAACGUCAAACUGCAAUCCAUCAUGGUGGACAGUGUCUCGCGCUGUUAUACCAACAGGUGGCAGUGUGUUCAUGUAAAAGACAUCGGGCAAAAAGUUUGAAUGAAUUUCCCCUAAAAGUUACGCCUGUUUGUGUGUGGCGAAAUGUUUUUGAUUUAAUUAUAAAGGAAACAGUUUUUUUUUCUGAUUUAAUGAGAAAGUUUUGUAGGGAGUUCCACUUGAGUGAUUCGCCAAUUGCUGAACACUAUCCAAAUGUUGAACAGUUUCUGAAAAUUUUAUCAUGUUUCAGCACAACUUUUUAACUAUCGUUGUAUUCCGGCUGGAAGCUCGGCAGGACUAAUUGAAAAAAAUCCAAGUGGAAUCAUAGGAAAAAUCCCUUGAGGAAUGUCAAAGAAACGAGAAGAAUCUUUGAAGGGACCACAGCAAGAAUCCUGGCAUGAAUACCUGAAAGACUCCCGUAAGAUUCCCUGAAGGAAUCUUUGAAGGAAUACAAGGAGAAAUGCCUGAAGCCAUUCUUGCAAGAACCACUAAAAGAAUCCCUUACAAAAUCCCGGUAGGAUCUUUGAAGGAAUUUCCCUGAAAGAAUGCCGACUAAAACAUUUGUCAAAUCAAAAUUUUCUAAAGCAAUCCCGGCAGAAAUCUCUAAAGGAAUCUCGGGAGGAUUUCCUAACGGAGUUUUGGGAAACAUAUCUGGUAGAAUCGUGAGAGGGAUCUCAACUGGAAGCUCGACUAAAACAAGCACGGAAGAAAUCCCGAGAGGAAUUAUUGGAGAAAUACCGGGUGAAACCCCGAGAGAAUUCCCUGAAAAAAAAAUCCGAGAAUAAUCGUUUAAGUAAUUCCAUCAGGAAUCCGUGCACGAAUGCCGACUAGAAUUUCUGAAAGAAUCCUUUCACGAUUUGGUAAAUCAGGGAUUAGUUUAUUACUGAAGGAAUCCCGUAGAGAAUACCUGAUGGAAUCCUUAGAGAAACCAUGGCAGGAAUCUCGUAUAGAAGCUCAGCAGAAAUUCUUGAAAGAACCAUAGAAGAAAUCCCGGAAGGAAUUAUUGAAGAAAUCUGUGAAAAAACUCGGGAAGAAUUUUAGGAGGAAUCCCAUCAGAAUAAUCUAAGGUUACCUGAUAAAAAUCUCGGCAGAAAUCUAUAUUCUUUUAUAUACCUUUUCGGGAAGAAUCCCCAAUAGAAUCACAGCAGGAAUGCCGAAUGGAAUAACUAAAAGAAUCCUUUCAGGAUUUUCUAAAGCAAUUCCUGUAGAAAUCCCUGAAGAGAUCUCAGUAGCAAUCCCUACAGCAAUUCCAAAAGGAACAUCUGAAGGAAUCUCGGGAGAAAUCCUGGGAAGAUUCUCGCGAGAAAAGCCGAAAAAAAAACCCCGGAAAGAAUUCUAGAAAGUAUCUCAAGAAAAUCUCACCUUCUCUUAUCCUCAGCGUCUUACCGUCCACAUCACCGUCUUCUCUGCCUUCUAUCCCAAACCUCUAUCCUACGCUUUACCCUAACCCUCAACCCUACCAUCUACCCUACCCUCUACUCUAUCCUCUACCACAUGGUCGCCAGUCUUCAUCCAGGGGGUCGCGAGGGACAGUCCAAUAUUUUACUGUAACAGACAAAAAAUGAGGGAAUUUCUAUGGUGGGUCGCGAAAAGUACCCAGUAGACCGAUGCAAAUUUUGAAAUUUUCGCUCCCCUAUGCUUAAUCGAUGCCAAUUUGGGUUCUAAUUGUACUACUCAAAUUUGAGCUCAUUUGAAUUAAAUUUGACUGAGCACACGCCAUUCAAAGUUUGUAUGGGAAUUACUAUGAAAAAGUCAAACUUUCAUUUGCACGAGUUGAAACUAUUUUCCACGUUACCUUGAAAAUGAAACCGAUAUGGAUUUAUAUAGAUUACAUUGUCAUCUUUCAUAUUGCUGAAGACGCCUAACACGUAAAACCAACAGAAAAAUUGUUAUUCAAUAACAUAUGACUUUAAAUCUUUUGAAAUGAUGUUUCUCUUUACUUUUUGGGAACACUGCGAGUGGAAAAUUUUGCCUAGUAGGCCAGCGGAAAAUUUUUCAAUGUAAAUGUCAGAAUGAAAACGUGAUGACAUGCAACAAAACGAAAGAUAGCGGCUUUAUUGCUGAAUGGGUAGUCAAUUAGGCCAGGAAUAACAAAGCGGAAACAAAUAAUGACAAACUAACUGAAAAGAUACUUCCAUUUCCGUAUUCUCUGAACCAAAUACAAACGACCGGGCCAACAUGGAAAACUUUAAUGCUAUUUUACCUAUCUAUAGAUAGCAGUAUACUGCUAACGUUCGACAACUCGAAACAUUUUAAUCCUUCAUCAAGAUAUGUAUGGUCAGCCAUAAUGUUAUGAAGUACAGUCCGUCCGCCUUUGCCUGAAUCACCCCAAAUUUCUUCCAUGCCGCCUGUGGACGACGGGUUUCCAUAAGACGCUUUCUCAACAUGAUGGGCUAGCCGGAAUCCAUGCCUGUGGCCUGUUCAUAAGCUACGUAGAUGAUUGGGAGAGGUGAUCUGGCAAAGUCUACAGUCUAUCCAAAUUUCAAAAUAUGUAUGAACGGAAUUCUACGAGAAAAGAUGAUAGGGGGAAGAUUUGAGAUGAUUAAAUUAUGAGUGUGUAGUUUAUGGAUAGCACCCUUGAUAGCACCUAUGCAAAUCAUCAAAGCAAUAAUUUAAAAGUCUGUACGAAGGAUCAGUUUUGGUCUAUUGAUGGAUUUUCUUGAGGUACCAAAGUUAAGAUUUUCAAUAGAAAGAGAAAAUUUCCAAAGUACAUUAAUCAUUCAUUGGCAUUGAUGCUGGGGCGGAUUGUUAUGUUCUUGUUAUGUCAUUUCGUUUUGCAAAAUUUUCCGCUGGCCUACUAGGCAAAAUUUUUCACUCGCAGUGUUCCCAAAAAAUUUGGAUAAACAUCAUUUCCAAAGGAAUAAAGUUAUAUUUUAUUAAAUAACAAUUUUUCUGUUGGUUUUACGUGUUAGGAGUCUUCGACAAUAUGAAAGAUGGCGAUGUAAUCUAUAUAAAUCCGUAUCGGUUUAAUUUUCAAGGUAACGUGGAAAAUAGUUUCAACUCGUGCAAAUAAAAGUUUAACUUUUUCAUAGUAAUUCCCAUACAAACUUUGAAUGCCGUGUGCUCAGUCAAAUUUGAUUCAAUUGAGCUCAAAUUUUAGUAGGAUAAUCAGAAUCCAAAUUAGCAUCGAUUAAGCAUAGGGGAGCAAAAAUUUCAAAAUUUGCAUCGGUCUAGUACCCAGCCUUCACCCUUUUACUGAUCAAGCCCGUUCGAUAGAUACCCAUAUGGCAUGGUAUCAUAGCUCAAACUACCACUCCGUGGCCGCCAUCUUUUGAGUUCUAGCCAUCACACCGUAUCGAUAGAUACACAUAUUGCAUAGUAUUCGAAACCGCAUUGCCGUAAAAUAGCUUACAUUCUUGAGUGUUGGGCGCCAUCUUGGAAUCUAAACCGCCAUAUUGAAUUCCAACACGCUACACCCAACACCAACUUAAAGAAUGUGUUUGCCAAAUUUAGUUGAAAUUGCUUGACGCAUUCCAGAGUUAUGCCGGAACAUACAUAUAUACAUUUCAGUCCACCAGAACUCUCUUCAAAUGAAAACGAUUACUUGUAAUUUGAAUGAGUUAUCUCUUUAAUAACUGGGCAUAGAACACGAAAACCCCGGAAAAAAUCGACCAGACUGAAAAAUUAGGGUAAACAGGUUUAAUAUGCCCCCCUUAAGCAGAAAUAGCAAUAUGUCUGAAACUGGCGCCUUAUUCCAUAUAUUGUCCACUGCAAAUCGUUGUUUCUAAAGUCAGUGAAGUGUUGCAUGCGAACUUGGCCUUUGGAGGGGCGACUAUGGAAGCUUUGAAACGUUUUACGAAAACAUUCAAAAAUUUGCCUUUUCAAAACAAACGGGGCAAUACGCCCCAUCAAAAGAGAAACGUCUAGCCCCGUGAUAAAACUGUCCCAGGGGAUAAUUCCACCACAUGCUUAUCCUAGGAGAGUCCUUUAACAAGUGUUUAACUGUAUAAAAGUUGCAAAAUAACACAAGCGAACAGAACUAGCUUGGUGUACAAUGAAGUCAGCUUACAAGAGGUAAAAUAUUACCCAAGUAACACAGAAAACAUCUUUGAAAAUGUAAUUUGAAAAAGAUGUUGUAAUACAGUACUAUAAUCGUAUCUGUACACAUCUUUUGUUGAAAUCAUGUUUUAUCUAUGUUUGGCAAUUACAAGCUACUGAAAAUUCUUAUCAAUCUCAGCACAAAUUACAGUAACGUAAAUUUAACGUUGAUUACACCAGCUUUUUGUAACACCAUCUUCCUGCAAUUAAAGACGUUAUGUAGAAAAUCGGCAGCACAUAGUUAUAACAUUUGGACUCAAAUAUGUUACAACAACGUUUUUUUUACGUAUUAAAUACGUUAAAUGUACAAGUUUACCCGUUCGCUGUCUUUUCUCAUUCACAUCAAAAUUAUUUUUGAAAUAUAUUUUGCCUUUAAAAUACAAGGCAAUUCAAUUAUUACAUCAACUAUGACAGCACUUAUAUUUCAUGCGCUUUGCUUGUUGAUCUCGCUACGAACUAGCAAAACACAUUGGUAUAUGAAUAUUACCUAAAAAGUUGACGACUAAGUAACUCACUUUAGGCCUGAAUGGCUGGGAAGAAUCAAGUCACCAUUGAAGUUUACAUAUAUGGUGGGCCUUUUAUCAGCUAAUAAUCACUUUAUGUACUUACUCGACGGCUAAAUCUUACUUCGAAGCACAGUUUCAACACUAAAUUGACCCCAAAAAAUCAUAGAAAACAAUUUCCUUAUAUUGGCUCCAUGAAUUCCACUCUAACAUUGUUAUUGUUAUAUUUAUGCUCAAAACUGGUAUCCAAGAACAAAAAUUACACCGUUGUUUGCUAUUUGGAAAUGGAUGUUCAAAAUACGUUACCAUGAUGUUUUACCAAUGUAUUUUAAACGAUUCAAGUGGUAUUCGACAAACACGUCAUUCAGAUGUUCAACAGAAGUAAAUUGAACGUUUUUCUUAAUGUUUUGAAUUCUUCUUUAUCAGUCCAGAUAAAUUACAGUACUUGCUAGAAAGUUUCAUACAAACAUUUUUAUUUAUAAUCAUUUGCUCAUCUACAUGUUUUUCUCCCCCUAGUUAUUUAUCUGUGAUAGUUUAAACAUUUGAUAAAAUUCAAAAAAAUCCUUAUCCAUAACGACUAAAAAUUCUACAGUCAUAAGCAUUUCCGUAUUCAUAAUUGAAAAAUGUUUUUUUAAACUUCCUAACGGUACUGUAUCUAGAAGCCACCAUGUUUCAUGUCCGAAAAUUUGUUGGAAAAACCUACACAAAUCAGAGAGACAACAAAAACCUCCCUUCUUAUUUCCAAUCAGAUGGAAAGCAAAUGAAUUUAUGAAGAGUGAAUAUACUUAUUUCACCAUAAAUUCUGAUUGGCACAUGAAAUUAAGCCAUGGUGGCCAAACAUCGAGAUGAUAGAUUGCAAAUAAAACUUAGGGGAUUUUAAGCCAUCACCAAAUGACACAUAAAAAUUGACAUAUUUAUUUGCAUAGUGCGCGUUUGAUUAUUUUUUUUUCUGCCAGCAACAAAUAAGUUUGUACAACGUUGCUGAGAAGUUAUUCAAUACUUAAUUAUAUGUUAUAUUAAUGUAUUGAAAAACAUCUUUAGUAGUAUCAAAGAUGUUUUAUAAGCCGCCAUUUUUUGCGCUUUUCCGGUGAUAUAAGUGUACGAAAAUACGUUUUUUAAUAUUUUGAACAGAACAUUGACGUUUGUAUGAAACAUGUAAUAUAUACAUUAUUGUAACAAGUUGUGUUACUUGGGUACGCCAAAAGCCUCGAUUUCUGAGUUUUUGAUAUUUGUCUUGCUUUUCUGUACCAAUCAACUAACAGACCAGCUUGAUGGCAAUUAUUCUUCAAUAUUUAAGAUUUCUAAUCCAUCACGCAUGCGAAAAGCACUUGAAUCGUUAGAAAAUUAAGAGGGGCGUUUUGCCCUGGUGGGGCGCAUUAUACCCUUUUACCUUACUGACGUUCUCUAGAUAUUUUCAAACUACAGUGCUUGAGCUUGAUUGAUCGCCCGUAGAUGCUACUCUAGUAUCGCCAUACCAGCUACACUCACACAAGGAACCCAUAUAUGCCGGGGACUAAGCAGGCAUCUUCAGUGUGUGAGUGUUGGUGAUCUUCUAUUUUUAGGCGGCAAUGGCGUUUGCCACGUCAAGUUGCAGGUCAAUGUGGGGAAGGGUAAGGAAGUGAUGAUUGCAAUCGUUUGUACCCACAGCAGACCGAAUAUAACUCUGCGCCGCGUUGGUGAGAUAUGGUUGGCAAUGGGUUCACACAUUGGUGCGUGGAUGCCUGGCGUAAGGUGAUAGAUUAGUGUAUUUAUUACUCUGAAGAUAGUGCGGCACAGUUGGUUUGAUUGCAUAACUUGUAGGCGUUAUAUGAUAGAUUGACACUGUGCUAGGAAAUUUGGAAGGAAUGGAAACGGCUUUUUCAACCCCUUUCUGUUCUAGCGAUGGCUAUAUCGGCACCAACAUUUCAAAAGGGCGUAACUGCAUUUUGAAACAAACCCCUCUUUCACAUCUGUAGAUCGUAUUUCAAUGCCGCCAUGCAAAUCACCGCCAGUAUAGGAAAGAAGAGCAAUUUCACUGUCUAGUAAUGUUUGUGAAUUUCGUGGGAAACUUAAAAUAUGACCCACAGAUGUGAAAGAGUGGUUUGUUUCAAAAUGCAGUUACGCCCUUUUGAAAUGUUGGUGUCGAUAUGAACAUGUGAAUAUACAUGAGCUAGUUUGAUUUCAUAUAGCACGAGAAAUAUGAUAAAGUGGACACAUCUACAUUUUAAUUGACUUUAUCUAGUCAGAAAGAAACUUAACAUUCAGUAUUUCAGUAACCUGAAUCUGCUACCAAGAAUUGUUGAAUUUAAACAUUUUAUUUUAUUGGAUCUAAUAGGCAUCCUCAGUGUGUCAGUGUUGGUGAUCUUCUAUUUUUAGGCAAGAAUGACGUCUGCUACGUUGCUGGCUGCUGGUCAAUGUGGGAAAGGGAGCAUCCAUUAAGUACGUCACGCUAAAAUUUGGAAUUUUAGACCCCCCCCCCGCUUCGUAUGGGUUUUUCCUAUACCUAAUACAUUGCUUGUCACAAUUUCAUGAAGCCCCUCCCCCUAGGAUCGUGACGUUCUUAAUGGAUGGCCCCAAAGGGGAGGAAAGUGUCAAUUGCACUCACUUGCCGACUUCAGGCCGUUGAGUCCUCUGCGCCUGCAUCAGGUCAUGCGUUGUCAAUGUUGUUGAGAAAUGGUUAUUUUUGACAGAAGCUUCAAACAUUGCAUUGGUGCUUGGUUGCCAAGUGUAACGUGAUAUAUUGUGUUAUUACUGCGAAAAUCUGGCACAGUUCGCAUAGUUGCAUAACUCGUUAUGUGAUAGAUUGACACUGUGCUGUGUAAGGAAAGAAAAGGGCUUGCUCAUUCCGUUUCCAAUUCUAGCGAUGGCUAUGAGAAUACGACUAUAUACUUAUGAGAUGUAUAGGUAAAGUUUUUUUUUAUAGGUGAGAGAGAAAGUAUAUAAAAAGAUUCAAAGUAGGAGGAAAGGGACAGCCAGGGAUUGUACCCAAGACUGCAUAUGAAUCAGAAACGGUAGCCCGUUACAGCAGCUUCAAAAAAGUCGCAUCAGAACAGAGAUGCAAAAUUAUUUUAUUAAAAAUUUGUAUCAACACAGAUGUUUCUGUAUCGCCGUAUUUGAUGGUAUAGCAGACAUCGAGUCCUAGAUUUCAAUAGAAACUAAUAAAAAUGAACUGCAUUUUGACGGUGUAUAAUUUUUACUGGGGUUAUUUUUUGUAGGACAUGUGUGAAAAUGCACAAAUUUUCAUUAAUUCAUCAAAGUUUAAGUAGCAAUUUAUAAAGUUUUCAUUAAAUUUAUUGAAAAUAACUUCAAAUUUUAUGCUUUCUGGAGAAAUCUGUAACACAUUUUAAAAAUCUGUACUCUGUAUCUUGUCUGUAUAAAAGGUCAAAAAUCUGUAUAAUACAGAAAAAUCUGUAUAUCUGGCAUCACUGCAUCAGAAACACUAAUCCACAAUUCAUCAAAUCAGAUGAACACAAACAAUCUUACAAACUUUCAAAAACUUUCUGCAUCAGUGCGGCUAGUCAAUUUUCCAAAUUACCCUUCGGGAACGUCACUCGCCCGCCACUAAAACUGACGAAUCGAGAGUCGACCAUGAAUCCAGGAACUUCCCAUCUCCGUAAUUAGUCUGCCAAACCGAUUUGUAGCCAGACACUCAUUGGAAAGCAGAUGAUCGCUCGGUUGAUCGCGCGCGUGUGUUAGAAGUUGUCUGGCUUCGUCCGUUCCAUGAUAUUCCAGCAGCAGAACAACCCCAUUCUAUCGAACAUUUUAUUGCCCACAUGUGCUCGAUCGUGGAUGACUGCUCUUUUCCUUUACCGUCGUCGUUACGGAGCAAUGGUUCGAAUGUAUAAGGUUUAUAUAUUACAACUGACUGGUUACUACUGUGUAAUAGCCAUGCCGGGCUGGUGUACGCACUGCAGCAAGAGACACUACGAUCCUACGAUAGUAAUACGAUGAUCUUCCCAGAAACGUGAUCGUAGCGAGAGCCAGCUCAAAAGCAGUUAAGAGGAAACAGAUCUAAUAAAAGUUUUUCUAGCACCCUUCUAGAGUAAACAACUCUCCACAACAGCAGUCCCCCACUGGGGGUUGCAGAUCGACGCGGGAGACUUGAUCAGGCCGAAUCACAGACACACACCCAAACAUUCACGCAUCAUGGCGGGGAGUCCCGGCCACCACGCCAGCGGAAGAAAAUUAAUGCCUUUCGGACACUCGACCUUGAUGUAAUUUAUUUAUUGCAAACAGCUGGACAGCAGCAGCAGCAUCACCCUCGCUCGCUCGUUUCGUCGUCGUCGUAAUUCGUCUGAUGUUGUCUGACUUGUCUACGUACGGUGUUCAAUACGGAGCGUUUGGUCAUCGGGCCUUACCUACUUUGCGCGCGGAGGUUACUCAUUUCACUUUCGGCUUCGCGGUAAAAUUUCCAUCAGUCGGUAUACAAUAUGUUUGGACGUUGAUGUGUUCGAGACGACCUGUCUGCUGCUGAAUCGGGCCUCGGGAGAUCUGUUUUUCUCCCUUUAUUUAAAUUUUCGAGGUUUUAAGGUGUGUUUCUGUUGUAUCCAUAUUGAUGAGCGCAUGGUGAACAGACAGUCAGACAGAUAGACAUCCCACGUGCGGUGAUCAUAUACAUAGCUAUUGGCAGCUUUACCGAAUGUUUAUGCCCUAGACCGGCGAAUGAUAUUAUGAGAGUGCGGUGGAAUCAUCUAUCCUAUACACAAGAGCCGCCACGCACCGAACGGCAUAUUUAAUGAUGGCACCUCUACGUGGGGUGCGGUAGUUUACAUGAUUUUGAAGUGACGCUAAAUGGGUGGUGAUUGAUAUCCGAUUUGGAUUGUGUUUGGGCUUGUGGAACUGUAAAUAUUAGCAUAUUUUGAGGAAGCUGGCGAUGAUUAAAGAUGUGGGAAAAUCGAGAAACGGAAACGUGAUGAUCACAUCACGGUUGGUUUUCAGAUGGAUGGUGAUUGGUACAUCGUUGAAUUUGUGCAGUCAAUGUUGAAUCGGUUGAAUGAUGCACCUAGAUAUAUUGGGAAAGAUAGAUGAACAUUGAACAACUAUUAUAUAUCGCGGGCGUAUCUGCUAUGAUCGAUUUUUCCUCAUCGAUGGCCGGGAAAUAAUUUUCGAUUAAAUUUGUUGUUCGAAUGCAAAUAGAUGCUAGUUCUAGCCUUCCUUCACUGAAAUGUACCGAGUAAUCAUCGAAAUACUGAUCGUAUAUCCCGCAAUUAUCGAAAUCGAUCAUUGCAGAUACGCCCGUAUGAUACUAAACAUGAGGGAUUUAGGACAUUUGGUCGAAUGACAUUUGGUCGAAUGACGUUUGGUCGAAUGACAUUUGGUCGAAAGUACGUUUGGUCGAAAGGACAUUUGGUCGAAUGGACAUUUGGUCGAAACCCAUUUUGUGGAAGAAGAAGCACAUGACAUUUAGUCGAAUGGUCAAUUCGUCGAAUGGACAUUUGGUCGAAAGGCGCUAACCGAUGAAAAGAGAUUUAAGUGGAAAAAAAAUAUUCUAGAUUUGGGUAUCUGAAUUUAUUUGUUACUGAACUUAUUUGGUUGAAAGUGUGUUUGGACGAAAAAUAUGUUUUCACCGAAAAAAAUCAACAAAUCUCGAAACAUAAAAUUCAACGGUGACGAAAAACCCCACAAAGAAUAGACGUUAAGUUGUAUAGCAAUUUAAUCAUGUUAAUAAUAUCAAACAUUAAACAGCAAAUAUUUCAUUCAAGGGUGUUUAUUAUUAAGGUAACUUGUUUUGCAAUGUAGUUUUCGUUGGCAUUGGUGAAGUAGUUGAUUUUCCAUCGAAGAUUUCUCCUUAUCUUUAAUAUUGGCUCUUCUUCCAAGUUUCAGAAUUUCACUGCGUUUUUGUGUAGCACAUACUGGCUUUUCCAUCAGGUUUCUCCUUCUUUUCAACAUAUGCUGUUCUUUCAAAUUAGUUAUUUGUGCUGACAGUGGACAUUAUGGUUGUGAUUUUUUUAUUGAUGAUUUUUCCUUCUUUUGAACAUGGGCCAUUCUUUCAAGUUUCGUAUUUGUACUAUGUUAAAAUGUUAUGGCUGCUGUCUUUUUCUCAUGUAUUUUUCCUUCUUUGAAACAUAGGCUAUUCUUUCACGUUUAUUAACCCUCCUAGGAUGUUCGGUUUUUCGCACCACGAUGGCGUAAUGCACGUUCAGCGUGCCUGUUUGGAUCAUAUUGACCCCAACAUCGUUUUCCUGUACGCUGUACAAACUGCUGAAUGUUUCAUAAGAAAUUUUUUCCUUUUGAACACAAGCUGUUCUUCAUUAGCUGAUGCCUUUUUUUUAGAUAUUUUUCCUUCUUUCAAACACAGGCUGGUCUUUCCAGUUUACUCAUUUCAUUGCGUCAUGUAUCAACUGCUGAUUUUUUUCAUCAGUGGUUAUACCUUCUGGGGUUUUGUUCAAGUUUCCUGAUUUUAUGUACUAUGUUCAUAUGUUGAAGAUGCAGAUUUUUCAUCUGAUAUUUUUCCUUCUUUUAAACAUAGGCUGUUCUUUCAUGUAGUGUUGCACUUGAACUGAACACGAGUCGAAAAUAUUUAAUAUAAAUGCUUUCAAUGUUUUGAUUGAAACGCAGUAGAAAUUUAACUUGCGUGUCAGAGCUCAAGACCGCCCGUUCAGAUACCGAUUCAGCUCCGAACUCAUAUGUGCUUACUCUAUCGAUAUGUUAUGCGAAUAAACUGGUCCGGUCACCCGGAGUUUCAGAAAAUCCGUCAAUACAUUGUGGGGUUGAGAGGGGAUGAGGUGUAAGAAAAUGUUAUUGAUAGCCAUGACUUUUUGAGAUUUUUUUUUUCUGGAAUAGCCCACCAAUGGACUGAUGACAAGACUGAUUGGUUUGUUGGUUUAUGAUCUUUGAUGGUUAUUGUAGCUGACAUGCCGAACAUAUUCCUGAAAAUCCGGAUUCUCCGAAAACCACGGUAAUCAGACCGGUUCACUCGGAUAAGCUCCCAAUAAAACAUAAGUUUCUGAAUCGAAUCCCAAGAUUAUUCAAAUCUUUGAAAAAUGGCAGAUAUAUAACCAUUUCAGUUUUGAGGAUACCAGGGUAUCAUGCGUUCCAACUUCCAACUGAAGAAUUUUCAAAUAUGUCUGAUCGCAGCGUGCCGAGUUUAAACUUGAACGCGUCACUUUUUUCAUGUUAUCCUCUUAUGGUAGUAUCAUGCACUGCAAGCAAGUAUCAUCAUUCGGGUAUCGCUAGGUGUAUUUUCGGACAUUCUCUCGUAUGAAGUAAAUAGGUACUGCUGAUUUGCAUUGCUCUAGCAGCGAAUGCCACAAGCCGCAGAGCAAUAUGGUCCACUGCACGAAUUUAUGCUGGCCUGCUUACUCUCACGGAAAAUUUGACGUUUGAGCGGUGCCGACACCUCUCAAACGUCAAAUUUCGUGUGAGAGUAAGCAGGCCAGUAUAAUUUCGUGCAGUAAUCCAUUGUUGGUAACGAGAUGAUAGUUUUCCAAUGACAGGUUCAACAAAAGUUUUUUUUCCGUUGAUCUGCGAAUAGUAGCCCCAUUAACGUCGGCAUUCUGCAGUUCACGAGCCAGGUGCGCAAGACGUGUGGGUUGAAUUAAAGUGCUCACGUUCCAAGAUUUGAUUUUCCAAUCGUUAUCCGUAAAUCGCUGCCUGGUCUGUUGCCGUUAAAUCUAUCCGUUUUCUCUAGUUUUGCAUUUUUUCUGGUAGGUGACGGUUUAAAACAGGCUUCCUUACCGGGGCUGCUCUGCCUACAUGGCGCUCAAGGGGCUACCACCUUGGGUACGCACCUCCCUAUUGAGUAUUCGGAACGUACCUACUCAAGCUGAAGUCGGAAAUACAACAGUGCGCGGACUGCCCUACCUGCUAAGCACAUAACUCUUAUCUAGCGGUUUUUGUCAUCGGCUGGUCUAGUGUCUUUUCAUCAGUUAGUG